UCAAACUUGGUCAUUUAGAGGAAGUAAAAGUCGUAACAAGGUCUCCGUUGGUGAACCAGCGGAGGGAUCAUUACAGAGUGUAAAAACUCCCUAACCCACUGUGAACAUACCUCUUGUUGCUUCGGCGGGAACGCCCCGGCGCGCUCCCCUCCCCCGCUCCGGCGGGGUGCGGGGUGCCGAGCCCGGAACCAGGCGCCCGCCGGAGGUUACCAAACUCCUGCUUUACUGUACGUUUUCUUCUGAGUGGCAAACGCAAAAUAAAUCAAAACUUUCAACAACGGAUCUCUUGGCUCUGGCAUCGAUGAAGAACGCAGC
rnacentral:misc_RNA from 1 species